CAAAAUUUUAGACGACAUCAAGGUCACGAAACUCUCAGCAACUUUUUUUUUUUUUUUAAGAAAUAUCUACACAUGAAAUAACAUACCAGAAGCAUCCUAAACAAGUACUUGUGAAUAGAACCGAAAACAAAAAUUAUUUUCUUUCUUUAUGCCAUUUUUUUGCUUACAAUAUAAGCUGCAUAACCGAAUUCUCUAGAAAUCCGUAACUCGCAACUGCGCUUUUUUUUUAUUAAUGCAAAGCGUGUUUGCGGUUUAUUCUUUUUUUUUUUUUUCGGAGGUUGUGCAUCUGGACGAAAGUCUAACAUCACCCUAGGCACAUCCCAACCUGUUCGAGUAUCGAUUGGCGUGAGUUGCUCCGUAAUGGUACCUCGGGCAUCUACCUGUUAGAAGUAAAUCAAAUCGGUAGAAAGAAGUCAUUUCCAUCCGAACACCCCGGAGGAAUAGGCUAGGAAUAUUGUAUGGCCUUUUUCCCCUCUCCUGUUUCUCUUUUACGUUAACAAAACUGGUUAGAUACGUAGCAUAGUUUUUUUUUUUUACAAUUAUUAAUCUAUCAAACGUCAGAUUAAAAGUAGAAGACGAAAAAUAAAUUUCCAAUUCGUUACAGAAAUUUCGUUCUUGUAACGGCAUUAUCCCAUGAUAAAUGAGUGCCAAACGUAGAUAAAACUAUUCUCUGUUGCAUAUCUAUGCUCCAUUUCUCUAAUUUGAUCCUAUUCAUCAACUCGCUGAAUUGAAAUGGUCGAGAUCGAGUUUCCGACUUUACGUUAUGCGCGUUUAGCACACAUUUUUCAAAUCGUUUUGCUUAAAAUAACAAAAUUCUGAUAUCAUAAUUAAGGAAUUUGAAUGCAUUUAAAGUUUUUCUUUGACGAUUUACAUCCGUUUUUCUUCGUUUUGCGCAAAUUUUUCUUUCGUUUUAAAGAUUUUCCUAACAGAAAAAAAAAAAAACUUUUCCGGAUAUCCCACUACAUCAACAAGUAACACAUAAUUUUAGUUGCAUGUAAACAUAAAAUAAAUCUAAUAAUAUAAAAAAUAAAUAUAAUAUAAUAUAUAAAUAAAUAAGAAUUCGCCUUUUACGUAAGAACGGUAUCAGUUUGUUACAAAAUAGCAGUUUAAAAAAUAAAAAGAAAAUGAUCAAGGGUAUUUUUGGAUUGCCUUACGUCAUCGAUCAGGAUAGGGCGAUGACGUCACGCUGACGUCAACCCGGUGACGUAAUUGGUCACAUUGGGAGACGAUGAUGAAUAGACUGGGGCCAACAGUGCAUGAGCAGCAGUUAUGCAUAGAAGACUCUUCCAAUUGCUAUUGAUUUUAAAUGGCAUAAUUACUCAGCCAGAUAGAAAGAGCCUAUUAUUAACGCUAUUAUCUUAUAUUUGAAAGCCUUUUUUUUUAAUCCUUUAAUUUUUAUUAAAAGGUUAAUCAUACGAGAAAAUUAUUUUAUUUUGAAACUGCUCGGUUUUGUUCAGUAAACUACUUUAAUUAUAAUUUUAUUUUAUUUACAAUGCUUAAGGAUUUACAGUAAUACAAAUUUUUUUAAGUUAGCAUCUCGGAUAUGAAGGUGGAAGAUGGUAAUUUUUUUUAUAGAGUAAAGUAAUUUUUGAAUGUUAUUUGGACGUUAUAAUUGUGUUUCAGUGCUAAUAAAAUAGUUAAGAUGCUGUUUUCGAUUUGCAUCUGUUAACAAAUUGGAAAAAUUUAACAAAUAAGUAAAAAAAUUAAACAGUUUUUAAACCGCUUUUUUUACAAGAAACCUGUUGUUUGCAUUCGACUUGCCUGUCUGUUCAACUGUCCGUCAUCGAAAUCAACAUCACAAAGUACUCAGAUCGUCAUUCGUUUAUUAUCCAAAUUACAUGCCUGUUAAUUUCGAGAGCGUUAAGCGUUCUCAUUAACAAAAUGGCGCCAGUUCGAAACAAAUACUGUACUGUAUUAAAAUGUCAAUAUCUCUAAAACUAUUUAUCGGACGUGAAUGACAUUAUAGUCAUUCGAAAGGAUUGUAGAUAUAGUUUACAACAAACUGUGGUAAAAUAUCUCGAGAACAAAACAUCGCAGAGUAUUCAGAUUUUAGAUAGUAGUACAAUUUUAUACCACAACUAAUUUUAAAGUCUCCACGUUGUUUCGCUACAAAAUGGCAGCCGUUCAGAUAGUCUAAACAUUCGGUAGCUAUCUCAUUAAGAUAUUCUUUGUGGCACAUGCAAGAUAUUAUGCUCAUUUGAAAGAUUUCUUAUCAUAGGUGAAAGCUAUAAUCUCUUUAUACAUUUGCCAGUUUAAUUAUACAUUUUGAGAACUUCCUACAAUAUUAAAUAUGCAGAAUGUUAAGUUUAAACAGCAAUUCGCUACUAAUUCUUGAGAAUUGCUGAAUAGAUUAGUUUAUAAAGCGCUUACGAAAUGAUUAUGAUUUCAUAAAUCGCUCUAAUCUUAGAUGAUUGAAAUAUCGAAAUCCACCAUUUUUUUUUAUUCCAUUUUGAUGACUGCUGUUUGUAUUUUUCCUUUUAACUUUUUUUCUGCUUUUAACAGCUUCAUUUGAACUUAUAGAAGAAAACCGUAAAGAUUUGAGAGAUGAAUUCGCAAUAAAUCAUUGGGAGCUUUAAUGGAACAUAACUUUAGCUGUUAUCAACAGUAAGAAACUUAAGUUUAGCCAUGCAGAUACAUUUAGGAUGAUUUUUAAGCUUGUUGGAUUCCUCAUGUUUUAUGAAUUGCCAAUUUUCAAAGUAGAAUAAUUAUCAGCAAGUUUCGGCCAAGCCGCAAUUAGGAAUGGGAAAUAAUUCAUCGUUUUAAUGUAUCCAGUUAGCUACAAUCGUGUAUUUUGCUAAUGGAGAUGCUAUCUGCGAAGAUACGCUUAAUCGUCUUGGCACAUUAACUGUUCCAACUACUCUACUUAUCAUGAGAGAUUUUAGAGAAGCUCAAUUUGACGUUUAUAGUAGCGAUUACUCUUGCCCAAUUUUCAUUUUUCCUUGCCGAAUACUAAAUUUUUAUUAAAAAUACCUUGACUUAAUUAGAAUAAAUUUGCACUUUUUUUUUUACUCUCUAAGCUAAUAUGGCGGCUCUGUUAGCGGUUGAUAUAGUAGUCGAAACGGUACAAAUGUUUAAAAAGAUCGGGGAAGACUCGAUUGUGACAAGCAUGCAUGAUCGAUCAACGAAAGUUGGGAAAGUCAUUUAUCAAAUAAGAAAGUAAGUUAAUUCUAUCGGAUCACCACCUAGCCGUAUUGGAGGGUGAAGUGAAGAAGAAAAAACUCUCCCUCUUUCUCUCCAUCUUGCACGUUUUCGCCUUCGGAGUGUUGGAGAAACGGGAUGGAUGUACAGGAUGAGGUCAUCGAAAAUGUCACUUAUAACAGUGUUCCUGUCUGUUCGCCUUAAGAGACGCUUGAGUAAUCGAAUCAAUCCAUUUUACAUUCUGUGUUUUGUCUUAUCGUUUUGCCAGAAACUUUACAAAGUUUUCUGGAGACUGUUAGUUUUCAUCAAAUCAACUAAAAUAACUCGACCCAGUUUAUACGAAAAUUGCACGAUUUUUCUCCAACGGCAUCCUAGUAAUAAAUUAUUAUUGGCCUCUUUACCUCGCGAAUAGUUAAAACAACAAUAAAAGAAAAACUUGUCGCAUAUUUCCUAAAUAAACUAUGACAAGUUUUCAAGCAUAAAUUUAUGCAAAAUUUCUCCAUGUUUAGCACGGCGUGUGACAUCAAUCUUAAGUAAUUUAAUUUAUAGUUAAACAAUUAAAACAUAUAACUAAACAUCACGAUAAAGUAAUCACUUUUUCAAUUAGAAAAACGUGAAAGUUAAAGAAACGUGUUGUCACACCAUUUUCUAACCACUUUUUCCAUUAAUUCCAUCUUCGCUGAUUGGCAUUCAUUGUUUGUAUUGGAUUUUCAGCUUUACAUUCUGCAUGUGUGUUUGUGUGUAUAUGUGUACAUAUAUAUAUAUAUAUAUAUAUAUAGACACCCCGGGAACAAUAAUAUCUAUAUAUAGACAACAAAAAUUUUAAUUUAAACACAAAUAAAA
rnacentral:lncRNA from 1 species